AAGGGAUGUAUUUAUUAGAUUAAAAACCAAUGCCCUUCGGGGCUCACUGGUGAUUCAUGAUAACUCCUCGAAUCGCAUGGCCUUGUGCCGGCGAUGGUUCAUUCAAAUUUCUUCCCUAUCAACUUUCGAUGUUUGGGUAUUGGCCAAACAUGGUUGCAACGGGUAACGGAGGGUUAGGGCUCGACCCCGGAGAAGGAGCCUGAGAAACGGCUACUACAUCCAAGGAAGGCAGCAGGCGCGUAAAUUAC
rnacentral:rRNA from 1 species